rnacentral:lncRNA from 1 species
AGUGAUUGUAUAAUUAAAUAUAGGUAUGUGUUUUGUUUUAGAUUUGUUCACAAUACGAUAACUUUACAAAAGUAUGGGAUGACGAGACAAAAACACCAUACUUGUACAAUGGUACUUACUGGAUUGGUUAUAAUGACCCUAUUGCUAUUUGGAUAAAGGGAGACUAUGUAAAGAAAAAUCAAUUUGGUGGUGCUGUUAUUUAUUCAAUAGAUGGCGACGAUAAUACUCGUUUAUGUGGGGGAGAUAAAUUUGUUUUACUGAAGCAUUUACAUGGUGGUAUGGGACAUGACUUAACGUGGUUAAACGACAAUUGACUGAAUUUUGAAAAUAAAUUUUAAUUAUGCGAAUACUUAGUUAAUAAAUCGUUAAAUAUAUGUGAAAUAAAGCAGUAAGAAUUUA